UGGGAGCUUCUUGUUCUUUGGUGACUGGA
rnacentral:piRNA from 1 species